rnacentral:rRNA from 1 species
UACGUAGGCAGCGAGCGUUGUUCGGAGUUACUGGGCGUAAAGCGUGCGUAGGCGGUUGUCUAAGUCUGGUGUGAAAUCUCCCGGCUCAACUGGGAGGGUGCGCCGGAAACUGGAUGACUGGAGUGCCGGAGAGGUAAGCGGAAUUCCUGGUGUAGCGGUGAAAUGCGUAGAGAUCAGGAAGAACACCCGUGGCUAAGGCGGCUCUCUAGUACGGUACUGACGCUGAGACGCGAAAGCGUGGGGAGCGAACAGG